rnacentral:rRNA from 1 species
GGGAAGCCUUCCUCAAGAUGAGAUAUCCUUUAAGGGUCCUGGAAGAAUACCAGGUUGAUAGGUUAGAAGUGUAAGUAUAGUAAUAUAUUAAGCUGACUAAUACUAAUUACCCGUAUCUUUGG